CGGACGGGUGAGUAACACGUGGAUAACCUACCUAUAAGACUGGGAUAACUUCGGGAAACCGGAGCUAAUACCGGAUAAUAUAUUGAACCGCAUGGUUCAAUAGUGAAAGACGGUUUUGCUGUCACUUAUAGAUGGAUCCGCGCCGCAUUAGCCAGUUGGUAAGGUAACGGCUUACCAAGGCAACGAUGCGUAGCCGACCUGAGAGGGUGAUCGGCCACACUGGAACUGAGACACGGUCCAG
rnacentral:rRNA from 1 species